AUGAGUGGAUUCGAGUCCAGAUUCCGGCAGGAGGGAAUUUGGGAUCGAGAUCUGAAAAAAAGUACUAGACUAGAAAAAGACGGGAUUGAGUCGGAGCCGAUGGCGGGGACAAAGACCAGGGGUUGGGGAAGGCGCCGGUGGGAGCCGAGGCGCCGCUGGACUUGGCCUGCGCGCGCAUCACAGCGGUCUCCGCACGCAGCAGUGGCCACGGCGGCAGGUGCGCAAGCCCGGGGUCGCUCGCCCUGAGUCUCGGUUUCCUCAUCUGUACGGUUGGGACAAGAACAGUAACCCUGGCCAGUCAAGGCGGGCCGCGGCUGUCGCGAGGGUCCACGCCUUAGAGCAGGCGCCUAUCAUGUGCGGGGCCCUAAGAUGGUGUCUGACUCAGCUCCUAGGGGGAACUUCACCAGUGACCAAGUCAGUGCCCUUGAGUUAAAGACCACCAGGAGCA